rnacentral:lncRNA from 1 species
UAUCAAUAUUGUGAUUAUCGAUCCUCACUGAGUUGGUAAAUCCACCAGAUAUAUAUCUAAACAUUCUUUCGCUCAUCAAUCAUGUACAUUCAAUUAUUUCCAAGAAUUUAUCCUACAAAUGAAAGGUUUUGACCUUACUAAACAUGAUUAGAUCAUGUCAUUGGAUAUCCGAAUUCGAAUACAGAGGUAUCCGGACAGAAUUUGACAAGCCUAAUAUGAUUGAUAUGACAUGUUUUUGUAUCCUCAACUUUUGAAUUUUAAAUUGUAAAAUUAUUAUGAAUAUCUGAAAUCGAAAAAUCUAGGGGCUCACACACACAACUCUCUAAUAUUCUUCUCAAUAACUCUCAAUCUAGGAGGUAUUUAUAGAAAACCUUCAUGGGCCUUCUGGGCCCUGUGGUCUGUUCGGCCCAUGGUCCGUCUGGACGGGCCUUGGUACCAACACCAUGUUUGAUUUGCCCAAACAGAUAUUGGAUUAUUGGAUAGG